CACUCCCGGGUAACGUGGCUGGUCUGCACCUAUUCUAUGCAAUAGAAACAUGAUCGAUUCUUAUUAUGCUCAUUAAACGAAUGAAACUUAUUUAAACAGUGGAAGAGCUCCAGAGUAGGAGCCAAGUUCCAGCCGUGGACCAUGGUAGUCUGAGUAUGUACAGAUAUUCUGUUUAUAGUUUAGGGGUUGUUUAGUUGGUAGAUUUGCAAUCAUUAGAUUUGAUUAGUCAGAUUUGUUGCAUUGUUUACAAAAGCUUACAAGACCGGGGGAGAGAAAACCUAUCAUCCUGGAAAACCUAACGACCGAUAACGCUGCUUGAUGUUCUAGAGAUGUGACACUGGCUUUGAUGGCUUUAGAGAGCUAGCCUCAAAAUGUUCCGAGCCUGUAAGCUAACCUAGCUGCUUUCACAUAUCAGCUGCUGCUUCUACAACACUGGUGCAAAGCGGUGAAGCGCUGCUGUAAUGCGCAGUGUGCAAGCUUGCAAAGCAGUCGGGCUUUUGUGAAAGAGUCUGCCACCUCAUUCAAAGUCACGCCCACCUACAUGGUGUUUAAAUUAACUAAUCUUGUACUUCGAUGGGGGUCGUUUGUAAGGUUUCCAAGAAAUUUAUUGCUGAUCUACUAUGUGAUGGCGAUUCCAAGGUUGGGAAACAAUCACUUGGCUCACAUUCUUGAUGCUGUUUCUUUUAAUACAGUACCAGAGACUGAAGGGCUCGCUGAACCCUGUUAAGCUGUGAAACUAUGCCAAGCUCCUACAUCCAAGGCAGCACCCACAGCAGGACGCAAGUUCGUUGAAUGUAUGAAUCUCUGUGAAUGUCAAAUGUUAUUUUUUGAAUUUAUAGCACACCCAGGGCUGCUUGUACCUCAUCCCCAGGAAAUGAAAUCCAACAAAGGAGUCGUUCCACACGUUCCCCGGUCAAGCAGUGCUAUGGCAGGGCUGGCUGCACAAGUGCCUCACGUCAAAGUUCCUGCAGCAG